rnacentral:rRNA from 1 species
GAUGAACGCUGGCGGCGUGCCUAAUACAUGCAAGUCGAGCGAACAGACGUGGAGCUUGCUCUUCUGACGUUAGCGGCGGACGGGUGAGUAACACGUGGAUAACCUACCUAUAAGACUGGGAUAACUUCGGGAAACCGGAGCUAAUACCGGAUAAUAUAUUGAACCGCAUGGUUCAAUAGUGAAAGACGGUUUUGCUGUCACUUAUAGAUGGAUCCGCGCGUCAUUAGCUAGUUGGUAAGGUAACGGCUUACCAAGGCAACGAUGCGUAGCCGACCUGAGAGGGUGAUCGGCCACACUGGAACGGAGACACGGUCCAGACUCCUACGGGAGGCAGCAGUAGGGAAUCUUCCGCAAUGGGCGGAAGCCUGACGGAGCAACGCCGCGUGAGUGAUGAAGGUCUUCGGAUCGUAAAACUCUGUUAUUAGGGAAGAACAAAUGUGUAAGUAACUAUGCACGUCUUGACGGUACCUAAUCAGAAAGCCACGGCUAACUACGUG